GGGUGCCGUAGAGUUGAUCCUGGCUCAGUCGUAACAAGGUAGCCGCUAUGGAGUUUGUAUCCGGGCUUGGCGAACGGGUGAGUAACACGUGGACAACCUGCCUCAAGGCUGGGGAUAACAUUUGGAAACAGAUGCUAAUACCGAAUAAAACUUAGUGUCGCAUGACACAAAGUUAAAAGGCGCUUCGGCGUCACCUAGAGAUGGAUCCGCGGUGCAUUAGUUAGUUGGUGGGGUAAAGGCCUACCAAGACAAUGAUGCAUAGCCGAGUUGAGAGACUGAUCGGCCACAUUGGGACUGAGACACGGCCCAAACUCCUACGGGAGGCUGCAGUAGGGAAUCUUCCACAAUGGGCGAAAGCCUGAUGGAGCAACGCCGCGUGUGUGAUGAAGGCUUUCGGGUCGUAAAGCACUGUUGUAUGGGAAGAACAGCUAGAAUAGGAAAUGAUUUUAGUUUGACGGUACCAUACCAGAAAGGGACGGCUAAAUACGUGCCAGCAGCCGCGGUAAUACGUAUGUCCCGAGCGUUAUCCGGAUUUAUUGGGCGUAAAGCGAGCGCAGACGGUUUAUUAAGUCUGAUGUGAAAGCCCGGAGCUCAACUCCGGAAUGGCAUUGGAAACUGGUUAACUUGAGUGCAGUAGAGGUAAGUGGAACUCCAUGUGUAGCGGUGGAAUGCGUAGAUAUAUGGAAGAACACCAGUGGCGAAGGCGGCUUACUGGACUGCAACUGACGUUGAGGCUCGAAAGUGUGGGUAGCAAACAGGAUUAGAUACCCUGGUAGUCCACACCGUAAACGAUGAACACUAGGUGUUAGGAGGUUUCCGCCUCUUAGUGCCGAAGCUAACGCAUUAAGUGUUCCGCCUGGGGAGUACGACCGCAAGGUUGAAACUCAAGGAAUUGACGGGGACCCGCACAAGCGGUGGAGCAUGUGGUUUAAUUCGAAGCAACGCGAAGAACCUUACCAGGUCUUGACAUCCUUUGAAGCUUUUAGAGAUAGAAGUGUUCUCUUCGGAGACAAAGUGACAGGUGGUGCAUGGUCGUCGUCAGCUCGUGUCGUGAGAUGUUGGGGUUAAGGUCCCGCAACGAGCGCAACCCUUUAUUGUUAGUUUGCCAGCAUUCAAGAUGGGCAACUCUAG
rnacentral:rRNA from 1 species